AUGGACGAAAGUCUGACCGAGCAACGCCGCGUGAGUGAAGAAGGUUUUCGGAUCGUAAAGCUCUGUUGUAAGUCAAGAACGUGUGUGAGAGUGGAAAGUUCACACAGUGACGGUAGCUUACCAGAAAGGGACGGCUAACUACGUGCCAGCAGCCGCGGUAAUACGUAGGUCCCGAGCGUUGUCCGGAUUUAUUGGGCGUAAAGGGAGCGCAGGCGGUCAGGAAAGUCUGGAGUAAAAGGCUAUGGCUCAACCAUAGUGUGCUCUGGAAACUGUCUGACUUGAGUGCAGAAGGGGAGAGUGGAAUUCCAUGUGUAGCGGUGAAAUGCGUAGAUAUAUGGAGGAACACCAGUGGCGAAAGCGGCUCUCUGGUCUGUCACUGACGCUGAGGCUCGAAAGCGUGGGUAAGCCGAACAGGAUUAGAUACCCUGGUAGUCCACGCCGUAAACGAUGAGUGCUAGGUGUUAGGCCCUUUCCGGGGCUUAGUGCCGGAGCUAACGCAAUAAGCACUCCGCCUGGGGAGUACGACCGCCAAGUUGAAACUCAAAGGAAUUGACGGGGGCCCGCACAAGCGGUGGA
rnacentral:rRNA from 1 species